rnacentral:pre_miRNA from 1 species
UGUAAACAUCCUACACUCUCAGCUGUGGAAACUUAAGGCUGGGAGAAGGCUGUUUACU